rnacentral:rRNA from 1 species
CCUACGGGAGGCAGCAGUGAGGAAUCUUGGUCAAUGGGCGCGAGCCUGAACCAGCCAAGUAGCGUGAAGGAUGACUGCCCUACGGGUUGUAAACUUCUUUUAUCAAGGAAUAAAGUGAAGCACGUGUGCCUUUUUGUGUGUACUUUAUUAAUAAUGAUCGGCUAACUCCGUUCCAGCAGCCGCGGUAAUACGGAGGAUCCGAGCGUUAUCCGGAUUUAUUGGGUGUAAAGGGAGCGUAGGUGGGUUGUUAAGUCAGUUGUGAAAGUUUGCGGCUCAACCGUAAAAUUGCAAUUGAUACUGGCAGUCUUGAGUACAGUGGAGGUAGGCGGAAUUCGUGGUGUAGCGGUGAAAUGCUUAGAUAUCACGAAGAACGCUGAUUGCGAAGGCAGCUUACUAAACUGUAACUGACACUGAUGCUCGAAAGUGUGGGUAUCAAACAGGAUUAGAUACCCCAGUAGUC